rnacentral:lncRNA from 1 species
CCCACAUAUCUUUAUUUUAUCGAUGAACCAAACUUUCUUCUCAAUCUUCAGAAUGUCUGUCCUUCUGCUGUUUUUCAUCUUUGCUGACAAGGCAUGUCCAUCUUCACUUUUUUCCUUCCUUACAUAACUAAGUUUCCACCCUUGUACAUUCUACACCAAUUUCCAAUGCCAACAUACUUAUACUCAUGUGAAGCAAACUCAUCCAAUGAAAUAAUAUUAGCUCCACCAGUAGGCAC